rnacentral:rRNA from 1 species
AUUGAACGCUGGCGGCAGGCUUAACACAUGCAAGUCGAGCGGAGAGAGGUAGCUUGCUACUGAUCUUAGCGGCGGACGGGUGAGUAAUGCUUAGGAAUCUGCCUAUUAGUGGGGGACAACAUUUCGAAAGGAAUGCUAAUACCGUAUACGUCCUACGGGAGAAAGCAGGGGAUCUUCGGACCUUGCGCUAAUAGAUGAGCCUAAGUCGGAUUAGCUAGUUGGUGGGGUAAAGGCCUACCAAGGCGACGAUCUGUAGCGGGUCUGAGAGGAUGAUCCGCCACACUGGGACUGAGAAACGGCCCAGACUGCGACGGGAGGCAGCAGUGGGGAAUAUUGGACAAUGGGCGGAAGCCUGAUCCAGCCAUGCCGCGUGUGUGAAGAAGGCCUUAUGGUUGUAAAGCACGUUAAGCGAGGAGGAGGCUACUGAGACUAAUACUCUUGGAUAGUGGACGUUACUCGCAGAAUAAGCACCGGCUAACUCUGUACCAGCCGCCGCGGUAA